AUUGAACGCUGGCGGCAGGCCUAACACAUGCAAGUCGAACGAGCGGCGGACGGGUGAGUAAUGUAUGGGAAACUGCCCGAUAGAGGGGGAUAACUACUGGAAACGGUGGCUAAUACCGCAUACCAUCGGAUGUGCCCAGAUGGGAUUAGCUAGUAGGUGGGGUAAAGGCUCACCUAGGCGACGAUCCCUAGCUGGUCUGAGAGGAUGACCAGCCACACUGUGACUGAGACACGGUCCAGACUCCUACGGGAGGCAGCAGUGGGGAAUAUUGCACAAUGGGCGCAAGCCUGAUGCAGCCAUGCCGCGUGUAUGAAGAAGGCCUUCGGGUUGUAAAGUACUUUCAGCGGGGAGGCGUUACCCGCAGAAGAAGCACCGGCUAACUCCGUGCCAGCAGCGGCGGUAAUAC
rnacentral:rRNA from 1 species